CGGGGGUGCCCAGGGCGACAGCCACAGGGGGACUGUGGGUUCUGUCCCCCAGAUGCAGUGCUGGUGGGUGGGACUGCCUUAAUGUUGGGCUGAGCCCACCAUCCAAUAAGCAAGUUAUGCACAAAAACGCAAAUGAUGCUCACAGAGGGCCAGGAAUCAUAGAAUGAUCAUGGAAUCAUGGAAUGGUUUGGAUUGGAAGGGCCACACGUGUCAGAACUCUGGGGAUUAUUAUGUCUCAGCCUCAGCACCACCAGUACUGCCAGGCCCACAAGUGGGCACAGGGAGGGAGGAUGAGCCUUCCUGCUGCCCCUGAGGCCCUGUGCUGGGGCCUGGUCACCUUAUGGUAAAGGAACCACAAGCCCUGGAAGCCUGGGCAAUACCACCCCACGCAGACCUGGCAUCACAUGCAAGAUCCUGUUUGUUCUCCAAGAGAAGGAAACCACAAGGACACGGCCUCUGUUGCAUCCCUUUCCCUUGCAGGUCACCACAACCUGCUCUAAAAGGGACUGUGCUGACAGAGGGUGAAGGACAGCCCCUGGUACCCUCCACACUGACUCACUGGCUCUGGUCCCACACUGAUGUACAGAGCAGCAGCAAGGGGAAAACUGGCAGAGAAGCCAGGUUUUGGACAAGACAACAAAUCCUGGGAUUUCUGAGCAGAAACCUACAGAUAGACCACGUGGUGCUGCUGUAAGGGAAGCAAAAGGCCUGAUUGUAGAGCAAGGGAGAUGUGCAGGAAGGUGAGUGGCAAGCAAGGAGUGCUCCUCACCCAGCUUUGGGCCUUCUAAUAAACCCAUGGUGAGCAAGUGAGAGGACCAGACUUUGCCAAGUGCAAGCACAGUAGCUGGAACAGAUCCACCUGGCAUUUCUGCCUGCAUAUCCAACAAAAUAUGCUCAUAUAGGCACCAGAGUCUUGCAUAACUGAAGACAGGAUGCAAAAACUUGGGUGGAAACCCAAGUCCUUUGCCUAGUGCUGAUAAGGGCUGUCACUUCUCCUCCCACCUGUCUGCUCAGUAAAUCCAGCCACUGCUUGGAAACCA